ensembl:miRNA MIR6812 microRNA 6812
UGAGGAUGGGGUGAGAUGGGGAGGAGCAGCCAGUCCUGUCUCACCGCUCUUCCCCUGACCCCAG